rnacentral:misc_RNA from 1 species
UGUUUCGUUUGAGUAAUGCUGUUCGUUGCUGUUGUGGUCUUUUCAGAUGUACCCCUGCAGUAUAUGUGGCUGUGUUAGCUCUACACUUUCCGCAUUUCUCAGGCAUGUGGCUUUGCACAAAAAUGCCAACAAUUUUUAUGUGAAAUGCCCCUUUCAAGACUGCUACAAGAAAUUUUGCAAAGUUGGCUCGCUCUACAGUCACUUCUGUCGUGGGCACAGACGGGUUAGACGUGCUGAACAAGAAAGCUGUGUUUCCAUCAGCGCGCAUGGUUGCGACUUAGUCUGCACUGUGGACAGCUGCAUACAAGUUUGUAAAGAUUAUAAAGCUCUAAUUGCCCACCUGAAAUUUCACAUUGUUCAAGGUGCAAAAGUGACAUGCCCGUUAUGUAAGAAAGCAUACAAUAAGAAGGCAUCUUUUUCUUCCCAUCUUUCACGUUACCACGGGAAGUACCUUUGCUCAGUAUCAGAUGUGGAAGUUCAAGAGCCUAGGCCUGUUUCAGCAACUGUUACCACCCCUCCACAUGAUGCUGAACAAACUGGAAGCAAUUCAUCUGAGGAGGAAGAGCUACCUAGUACACUGGCACUGCAUCAAGGCAGCAUGCAAGAAAGCUGUAAGAACCAUGUUAGCACUGCUUUUGCCCAUCUGUACCUGCGACUCUUAUCUGAGCGCCAUGUGCCAUCAUCUACAGUUCAAAUUAUUUCUGAGGCUAUAUAUGACAUACAAAAUGCAAAUGCUUCAGCAAUGGCGUCUUGUCUCAAAGAAAAGCUCAGGGAAAAAGCUGUUAACAGUGAUGACAUAGAUAAGCUGAUAGAUGAAACAUUUGAAAGUGAUUAUGUUUUGGCACUGCAUCGAGCACCAGAUGGUGUGUUCAGGACAGAACACAGCCGUUCUUCAUUCUUCAAGAAAGAGUUUCUGUAUGUAUCACCUGUAGAAAUAUUGUUGGGGAAAAACAAGAAGAACAAGAAUGCUACCUUUCAUUACGUGCCAAUUCUAAGUACACUUGAAGCCAUGCUUGAAAAUGAAGAUGUGAUAUCACCGUGCGAUAGGAUACUGCCCGAGACCCCUGGUGUCCUGAAAGAUUUCACUGAUGGAAAUAUGUUCCAGUCUAUUCCACUUUACAAGGAGCAUCCUGAAGCACUGAAGCUUAUACUCUUUCAAGAUGCAUUUGAGGUCGUGAAUCCAAUUGGUUCUGCAAAGAAGAAACACAAACUUCUUGCUGUUUAUUUAAUCCUUGGUAAUCUCUAUCCAUGGAAAAGAUAUGCAGCUCAUUCUCUCAAGUUGUGCUUGCUCUGCAACGAAAAUGAUCUGGCAUAUUUUGGGCAGGCCAAAGUGUUUAUGCCUUUGCUCGAUGAUCUGAAGAAGUUGGAAGCUGGCCAUUUCGUAACUUCAAGAGGAAUGCGUUUGUUUGGCACCGUGACUGCCAUCCUUGGAGACAACCUUGGAAGCCACGGAAUCGGAGGCUUUGUGGAAAAUUUUAGCUCUGCAAGUCACAUCUGUAGGUUUUGCAUCGCUGAAAGAGCUGACCUUUUUUCUCCAAAUGCACUGUCAGGUAUUUCAGAAAUCAGAACACCGGCCAAUUACAAUAGUGCUUUAUUAGCCCUGCAAGCCAAUGGUUCAAGUAUAGAAAAAGGAGUGAAGUUCAAUUCCUUAUUCAAUCAAUUGAAGUACUUCCAUGUGUGUGCUCCAGGUCUCCCUCCUUGUUUGGCACAUGAUUUAUUUGAGGGUGUUGUUUCAUUUGACAUUUCUUUGUAUAUUAAGCAUUUUGUAACGGUUCUCAAGUGGAUUUCGCUUGAAGACCUUAAUCAGCGCAUUACUUGUUUUCAUUUUAAACAUGAUGAUUUGGCAGACCGGCCGUGUGAAGUUCACUUCAAGAAAGCACUAGGAGGCCAUGCGGUUCAAAACUGGAACAUGUUGCGCUUUCUUCCAUUGUUUCUACUUGGUUCAAUUCAGUCUACGGAAAAUGAUAUCUGGCAACAAGUUCUUUUGCUUUCUGAAAUUGUCCUGCUUGUUACUGCACAUAGUAUCACACUCCCCAUGGUUAUGAGGCUGCAAGACCUUAUAGAGGACUACAUGACGGGCAGAGCACACCUCUUCCCUUACGUUGCCAUGAAGCCUAAGCAUCAUUACCUGAUUCAUUACCCGUUUCUGAUUACACAGUUUGGCCCACUGAUAAAGAUGUGGACAAUGAGGUGUGAAAGUAAGCACAGCUAUUUCCGUAAGUGUGCAAGAAAUUGCCAGAAUUUCAGGAACUUGACGCACACACUUUCUGAGCGCCAUCAGCUUUAUCAGGCAUAUAAGAACACAGGAGCAGGUAUUCAUGGUUUAGUCAAUAGUUCCUCAUUCUCUAGUGAGCUUUGCACACCAGAAAUACAAAAGGAAGUACGCGAUGUGAUCAUUGAAGAAGGUAAUAUAUUCUCGGCCAGUCAAGCUACUAUCCGUGGCAUGCUUUACAAACAGGACAUGCUUGUUGUUAUGAGGCGGACGGAUGGCGCUCCAGUUUUUGGUGAGAUUAGGCUUAUUCUUGCCAGUAAUGGCGAUCACUUUUUCUUAUUAAGAACUGUCCACGCAAGAUAUGAGCCUGCUAUGCUCUUCUACAGCAUUAUCAGUAGUGAUGGUCCUUUCAAAUGCAUGAAGCUUGAAAGCCUCCUUGAUUGGACUCCAUUGGUGCAGUAUAAACUUGCCCGCAACAAGUACCCUGUUGUUGUGCUGAAGCAUGCUAUAUUAGAUUUUGUUUGAUUUCAUGCUUUUGACAGGCAAAAUGGACUUGCGACAGCAUAUUUCCAGUUGGCUGCCGCACUUGGACAAUGAAGUGAUCGAACAGAUUGUACAGAAACUGCUGGACUGUGGUGUUCAGUCACUUGAGCACCUCAAGUAUGUAGUGGAGGCUGACCUAAUGUUCCUGAGUGUUGUCAGUAGACGCAUCCUGCUCGAAAAGUUCCAGACAGCUGCUUCACCAGCCGUGCAAGUGUCCAUUCCCCAAGGAAGCGAAGCUUCUGUGAGCUUGUUGGGCCAGGCUUUUGAUAUUCCAUGGGAUGCAUUUCCACCCGAACUCAUAAAAGCAUGUCAAGAUGGCAGGCGCCCACUGAAAAGUGAUCUGAAUGAAAUGAUUAGGACACUAAGUGACAGGGUGCUUGCCUGCUACCAGAAGCCUGGGCGCAAAGUGCUGCGAGUCAUUGCGAGGGAAAUUGUCAGCAAAUAUCCAAGAACUUUUGAGGACACCCUCAAUGGCACCAUCAUUGCUACAGGACUAGAAACGCUUCUAUGGAAGCUGGAGAAUUGUAUUAACAACAAAAGAAGGCACAGUUCUGAGUGUUCGAAGCGGUGUUUUUCAGAAGAUGAAGAGUUGACCACAAAGAAACCACAACUCCAAAAAGAUUCUUAUGGCUGUGUAGCCUGGCAGCCUGACCUUCCGUCUACGGAAACAGCUGAAACUCAAGAGAACAAAAGAAAAGAGUUGCAAGCCCAAUUCAGGCUAGCUUCCCCAAACAGUUCUCGAGUCACACAGCUAAUGGCCGAAACAUAUUCGUCACAGAGGCAGGUGAUUAAUGCCAGCAGAAGCGUGGUGAACGUGAAGGAAAACUGGCCUUUCCUCUUUGAAGAAGCACACAUGUGUUCACAUGUCAAUAUACUGCUGGGGUUCAGUGCCUCGCAAACAUUUGACGAUCAGGUUAAGACUGUUGGGCGACAGGUUUUUAGGUAUGCUCACAGCUUAAUAAAGAAGCCGAACGUGAGGACAUGCCUAGAGGAAAUUGAAAAGGCCAGAAUUGAAACGAAAUCAAUGGCUGUAGAGUAUGAAGCCACUCCCCUCCUCCUACUUGCCAUCUUCGAUGAAGACCGGGAGCUAUUCUGCAAGGUAGUCGAGGAAUCUGCUAGUGAUGACGACCUUGGGGACAUGCCAUGUUCUCCCUUCAUCAUUGCAAAAGGUAUAAUUUUCUGUGGUACCACAUUCGGGCAAGCAUUCCUGAUUUAAAACUUGUUUUGUGCAGGAGGCAGUUUUCUUACUGCUAAGAGCUUCGUCGUAUGU